rnacentral:rRNA from 1 species
GUGGGGAAUUUUGGACAAUGGGCGCAAGCCUGAUCCAGCAAUGCCGCGUGUGUGAAGAAGGCCUUCGGGUUGUAAAGCACUUUUGGCAGGAAAGAAAUAGUGCGUGCUAAUACCAUGCGCGAAUGACGGUACCUGCAGAAUAAGCACCGGCUAACUACGUGCCAGCAGCCGCGGUAAGACGUAGGGUGCAAGCGUUAAUCGGAAUUACUGGGCGUAAAGCGUGCGCAGGCGGUUUUGUAAGACAGGUGUGAAAUCCCCGGGCUCAACCUGGGAACGGCACUUGUGACUGCAAGGCUAGAGUGUGUCAGAGGGAGGUGGAAUUCCGCGUGUAGCAGUGAAAUGCGUAGAGAUGCGGAGGAACACCGAUGGCGAAGGCAGCCUCCUGGGAUAACACUGACGCUCAGGCACGAAAGCGUGGGGAGCAAACAGGAUUAGAAACCCUGGUAGUCC